AUCUCAGACCAACCCAGAGGCUAACACGCAGCACCGAGCCUGCUCAGGAAUGUGCUCUUUUAUUGUAGGAACCCUCAGCUUCUCUCUCUGCUCCGGAACGCUCCGGGCCUGGCCUGGUUGUGUUUCCGGUUUGCAAACCCUCAGACCCUCGAACAAAUCUUUCCCCCUUAUUUCUAGCCGAAGCCCCUGAUUCAUUGACGCCCAGUCAGCAACACCUGGGCACAGUCAGCGAUGACUACAUAAAUGUUCGCUAUGAUUGUUGCUCCAUUAGCCGUCUGCUUAAGGCUCCAUUAUCACGGAAAAGCUUGGUGUGGCUUAUGCAACCGCACCGAACGUGGGGGCCAGGGAGCCCCCUCCCUCUGUGCCGAUUCCCCUGGAGGGACAGGAGGGGAUCUAAAGGUGUUGCCGCUGGAAAUGCCAGCGGGGAAUGGUAGAGGGAUUACCCGAGGUCAGACCGCUCAGGGAUGCUGGCGCUGGGGGUUUCCGUCAGCCUCAGAAACCCGGGCAGGUGUGGUCCUGGUGCCCCUCCCGGGGAUGACUCAGCGGGAAGAGAGCCGCUGGCCUUCAGGACCAACCCUUUCCUGCUCCUGGGGGCAUUCCCAGGGCGUCCACACAGCCGGCAGCCUGCCCCUUCAGGCGGUUCGGUGCAGGUGGGGAGCCCGGCCUCGCUGACAGGGUGCCCCCGGAGUGGACAGGCUCUUUCCCGCCUCCCCCUUGCCCUGGCAUUCAAUGGAGCUGCGGUUGCCAUGUGAUUGGCCGGGGCUCUCCCCAGGGCGGUACCUGCUUGCUUCCCUGCCCGCGAUUCCUAAUUGCUUCACUGUCAGGGGUGAGGGGAGGCUGCCUUGAAAAGCACACAACAGCCACCACCCCACCGCAAACAGAACCCCGCCCUCCAGCAACCAGGUAGUGCCUGCAUACACCCCGAAAGGACUCGGGACCUCGAUACUGUAUUCACCCGCAUCGAGACACACUCAGGGGUUUUUCCUCUGCUGCGAAGACUUGCCAGUUCACAUCUGGUCAGCAUUUCCCUUUAGGAAACUCUCAAGGUUUCCUGCGUAAAGGGAACCAGGGGAGAAGGGGAAAUAGAGAAAUCCCCUUUUAAGAAACUCCCUUGCUUCAUGCCAUUGCUCAACCACAACUUCCCUCAGGGGCCAGGCUCCCUAGCCCAGGACGGCUGGCUGCUGCCAGGGAUGUCCGCCCUGCAGAGUCUGAUCUCCAUAGCAACCCCAAGGCACAUUCUCACCUGCCGGGAGGGAGUCGCACCUGGGGCCUGGAAGCUCACCUGGAGAUGCAGGUUUUCAUGGGAAGAUGAACAGCCUUGUUGCAGAAGCCAGAAUCGCCAGCCCUUUGAAGACCCCCAGCCCUUUGCAUACCCGCAGGCCUCUGCAAAUACCUGUAAGCUGCCCACUUGGCAUUCCUCCCCCAUGGAAUCUUUGUGCUUCUACCUGUUAACAUAAAAAAA